UACGUAGGGGGCAAGCGUUGUCCGGAAUCAUUGGGCGUAAAGAGCGUGUAGGCGGCCCGGUAAGUCCGCUGUGAAAGUCCAGGGCUCAACCCUGGGAUGCCGGUGGAUACUGUCGGGCUCGAGUCCGGAAGAGGAGUGUGGAAUUCCUGGUGUAGCGGUGAAAUGCGCAGAUAUCAGGAGGAACACCAAUGGCGAAGGCGGGUCUCUGGGCCGAUACUGACGCUGAGGAGCGAAAGCGUGGGGAGCGAACAGG
rnacentral:rRNA from 1 species